CCCUUCUCCUCGGAAUGCUGUAAAGCUGCGGGCAGAGCCAGCAGCGGCGAAGGAAAUUGUACAGGAAGCCAGCCCUGAAGCGAAACAAAAACAGUUGGCCAAA
rnacentral:ribozyme from 1 species